UUGCGGGGAAGUCGAGGCAGGUCCCGGUCCCAGUUGCGGCGGAAUCCACGGCAGCGUUUCUGAAGCUGUCCGGAGCAGAGAUGGGUGUUGAAAGUGAGUUUCUGUGCAUCCUGAUCGAUGGUUGCAGAGGCUCGGGUGCCGGACCGGAACUGGAAGCGGCGUCAGACCGGCGCGGCCUAAUACAGGGUGUGGUCUGCACGUGCGCAAUGGCGGCGGCGGGGCCUGGAGGUGGCUGGAUUGUGGAUACUGAGUGGGUUCUCUAACUGGAGGUUAUCAUUUUGAUUAUCUGUCAGCCAGGACAACAGCCACCAACAUAUGGAUCAUAUCAUUGAGAACUGACAAGAUUGAUUCUACAUCACAGAUGAUAUCCCAAUCUUUGGAAGAAUAUGAGCAUAACCAAACUUCCAGAACUUCAAGAUGGUGACAAGGAAACAUGAUCUUGUUUUCAACAGUGAAAAAUGUUAAAUGAUCAAAAUGAGCCAAAUCAAUUUCUUCAUAUUAAUGUACUUAUCAAAUGGUAAUAGUCCUGAACCUACCAAAAUAGAAGAUCAUACGGCAGAUGGCUACAUUGUAAGACAAAGGUGACUUAUAAAAGUUAUUUCAACA